CAGCAGCCGCGGUAAUACGAAGGGGGCUAGCGUUACUCGGAAUUACUGGGCGUAAAGGGCGCGUAGGCGGCACGAUUAGUCAGGCGUGAAAUUCCUGGGCUCAACCUGGGGACUGCGCUUGAUACGGUCGAGCUAGAGGAUGGAAGAGGGUUGUGGAAUUCCCAGUGUAGAGGUGAAAUUCGUAGAUAUUGGGAAGAACACCGGUGGCGAAGGCGGCAACCUGGUCCAUUACUGACGCUGAGGCGCGACAGCGUGGGGAGCAAACAGGAUUAGAUACCCGUGUAGUCCCUGUCUCUUAUAC
rnacentral:rRNA from 1 species